UACGUAGGCAGCAAGCGUUGUUCGGAGUUACUGGGCGUAAAGAGUGCGUAGGCGGUGUCGAAAGUUUGGCGUGAAAUCUCCCGGCUUAACUGGGAGGGUGCGCCGAAAACUGCGAUGCUGGAGUGUGGGAAAGGCAAGCGGAAUUCCUGGUGUAGCGGUGAAAUGCGUAGAUAUCAGGAGGAACACCGGCGGCGAAGGCGGGUCUCUGGGCCGAUACUGACGCUGAGGAGCGAAAGCGUGGGGAGCGAACAGG
rnacentral:rRNA from 1 species